rnacentral:sRNA from 1 species
GCUGGGCGCGGUGACACCUGCCUGUAAUCCCAGCCGCUUGGGAGGCUGAGGCAGGAGGAUCACGAAUGCUAAGCCAGCCUCAUAAAUGGCGAGGCACUAAGCAAUUCAGUGAGACCCUGUCUCUA